UGAUGCUGCAAGAAUUGAAAAGAACCAAUCUAGAGCAGAUGUGAUAAUGACUAUUGAUAUGCCCUUUGAGAAGCCGCACUUUAAUGAUAAUUUCGUGGAAGAAAUGAAGGAACCUGGUGAGGACCACGCAUAUUUUGAGAAUUUGGAUUUGCAGCUUUGACUUAAAGAAGCCAUUAUGACGGAGUAAUAGGGAGAGCAGUUUACUGUAUGAGAAGAUCUGAGCACUUAAGAUGGCCAUUUUCGAAAGUUAUUUCCUUGCAUUGAGGACUAUGAACUGAGAGAGAGUAUGCAUCACCUCGAAGCCCCUCUUGUAAUUAUGCUCCACUUAAACCUUCUGCUAUUAAGCUCCAUGUUUGGCAUGUGUACUGCUGGGUCGGCUUCAGGGAAAAUCAGCAGUAAAUAUCUCUAAGUUUUCUUGUUUCCAAACAUCCAUGGAUGUGCUUUGUGCACCACUAGGCGGAGUCCUCUCGUACUCAUCAAUAGAAGAGAAUGGGUCAGAAAUCAAUAUCACCGCCUAGUCCUAGACUGACUCGGGCAAUGCCCUGUCUCGGCUUAUUAAGCAGACGGGCCAACGGAUUUAUAUUGUCUUUCUAAUCCCCCCCCCCCCACUUUUUAGCUGUGACAACCUUUGUCGGCAACAACGAUUUCAGAGGGACUUCGAGCGAACCCUGAUGCUAAUCCCGCAGUCCCGUUUCCCAUUGUGAGUUCCCUCGUCGUGUAUUUGUUUGACUCAGACUAUUGAUAUAUCAGAAGUUACCUUAAUAGUAAUCAUUGAAUUAAAGAUACUUGCCAGUGUUGAAUUUGAACCCUCAGUACCCAUUGCCCAGGCAAGUUUGCUCGCCGAUAAAUAGCUCCGCCAUCAACGAUCCAUCGAGUUGACGGGAAAAAGCAACUAGGAGAAAACGACUUCACUAGGAGCAAAAAAGUUUAUCCCUCUAAUCAAAAUUCCUGUUACAAAACUUCCGAAAAAAAAAAAAAAA